AUUUCGCACGCCAAGGAUACAGCUACAGCCAGACCCCAGACGAAGCGAAAGUUGGAAGCAGCUACAUCACUAGCGGGUAUCCAGAUGAGGCAAGGAGUGUUCAUGCUGUCCGUGUAUGCUCCUCGCAUUUCACCGAUAAUGUGUACCUGGAUGAGAACAUCAUGGAAGUGCAACUUGGAUUGACACAAAAAAGGAACGAAUUGAAACUUGACGCCGUUCCGACAGUGUUCCACGAACAAAGCGAGCCAGCAACUUCGACACUGCAGGCAGUUCGACAGGGUCAAGCGCAAGUGGUACGUAUAUUACUUAAAUACAUAUAAUGUGUUUACAAUUUUUGGACACAGAACAAUUCGCAAACUAUGAACCCCGAUCACUAAAAGGAAGAACUGACGCUGUUUGUGUGCUGGUGUUAGAAACAGGCACUAUACAAACAGUACCUCUGUCCGUAACAUAAGCGCCAUAACCCACUUCCCAGUUACCUUUUAUCUCUCUGUUUGUGAACUGUUUGUGUGCUGUAGGGCGGCGGUUUUUGCGGUUGUCGUAGCCAACUUGAGGUGCACUUUUGACGUUCUGUGUUAUAGAAGGACCAGGUGCUGCUGAUCAAGUCCCAUCCAUCCAUGAAACGGCAUCAAACAAUGAUCUUCCAGAGCAGUGCUUUCUUCGUCCAAGUUCAAGAAGUAAAGAGAAUGACUUCAUGGCUUCUACUGACAUCUCACAGCUACAUGCCAAGACAAAAUAACUUGACAG